UAAAGAUGGCACCAAGUGGUACUCUUCAUUGUCACGGAACCGAAGCACCAAGUAACUACAGAAUCAGCCAUUUACUCCUGCCUAAUAAAUUAAGAGACAAGGUGAAAGAGUAAGAGAAGAACAGCCUGCCAAGAUGUCCUGGGAAGAGAAUGCUCUAGUCAGGAGGAAGCACCUUCAUUACAAGCAUCAUUACCUCUGGCAUGCAUGCCUUCAGUAAACGUUUAAUCUGGAAAAAAGAAUGCAGAAAUGGCUUUCAUUUUGUAAGAAAGAAGAGGAGAAGCCAAAGAAAGGAGGAAAGUAUUGCAGCUCAAGUCUUGCAAACAUUUAUGUUUUUUUUCUUACGUCAGACAUGGCCUCCUUUCCUCCUGCAUCUGCGAAAAUUUUCAGAUAGAUCCUAAUACCUAAAUUCUUUUGUGUCAUGACCUCCUGAAGUUGGCGCAGGGACUGAGAGCCUCAUUGUGUUUUGUCCUCAUUCUGUAUCUGCUUGAAGGUUGUGGUGUCUCUUGGGAAGUUCCACCGCACAUUAAGGGCUCUGGAAUUUCUCCCUGGGGGUUUCUAACCAUGGCAGAGGCUGCAGUGCAACAUGACAUCAAGGAAGCUCACAUUUCUUCUACCUUUCCCUCCCCUUUCAUUAAGGGAUGGGAAACUUUAACCUACAAGUGUAACAGAGGUUUUCAGCUCUGCUAGGGAGAGCGUGAAGAAACCAUGACUUGCCAUCAACAAUAAUCUCCUCCCUGUCAGUGUGGAAAAACUACGAAUUCAAGAGGAAUAAAAUACAAAGCAUGAGAAUAAUAUCUACUCUUAUCUUGGACAAAAUACAAAUAAGAAAAGGAAGAAUUUAAAGAAAGCCAAAACUAGUGGAAGACGAUGGGAGGGAGAGAGAGGAGGAACAACUGACGUUCAGUGAUGCAGUUUCAAGGUUUUCCUAUGCAUUACAGAAGCUAGAGGAAAGACUAAGUAGGAUACUUCUUCCUAAAUCAAGUUCAAGAUAAAUUUAUGCUUUGAGGGUGGCAAGGAAAGAAUGGCUGUGUUUGAAAUGCCCACAGGAUCUCAGCAGGAGCUGCUGCCUCAUACAGAAUUCAUCUGUAAGGAAACAGAAUAACCAGGUGUACCUAGCACAUGCUGUCUUAUAACAGGAAAGAGUUGGAAGGACUGCACGGAUGACAUCUUCGUAGUACCGUGGUGCAUUGCAAGGGUAUAUCAUCUCUUGGCAGCUUCUAAAGUAGCGCACCGUGGCCGCCGUAUAUCAGAUGUCCAUUCUUCUCCUUAGACCAGAGUGGGAAUAUCAGCCAUAACCCCACCACUUGACUAAUGCAUGAACUCCAUGUACUGGGAUUCAAAGACCCCUUUCAACAAACUCAAAAUAAACAGCAACAUCUUAUUUUAAAUGUGAUGCCACAAAAAAAGAAGAAAUACUUUUUGAGAGGAAUGAAAGCAAGAGGCUGUCUGCCAAGAACACUGCUGUCAUCAUCAUAGGUCUCUGUGUACUGAAAACUCCACUGGCAGUUUCCAUCUCAUAAUCUGACAACACUUUCUGCUCUCUACAAAGAACCAAAACUCCAUAUGAGCUUGCAUGGAUAUACACUGUACAUCCAAACUACUUAGCACUUUUUAAGCAGUUAUAAAGGAAUCAUGAAGGUUUUUUAUUUUCUGAGCAAAGAUUUCAGCAAUCAAAGGCACGCUCCUUGCUGUUAGGGAUUAACUAGAAAUGAGUGAAUUUAAUUUGUUUGUUUACAUGCUGGAACUAGGAAGACUAUUGCUAUAUGGGAAGAUACAAGUACAUUUUCAUAUUCACCCUAAUUUUUUGUGUUUCAUGCUUUUGCAGCCAUCCCCAUGCUUUCUGAGUUUCCAUCUGGACUCACAGUCCCUAUGACACUAUAUCUGGCACAAGACUGUGGAAAAAAACCAGCCUCUGUCCUGUCUAAGCUCUUAUAUUCUUGGAUCUCAAAUUGUUAUUUAUUUUCUGCAGUUGGUUAUGUAGAACAUGAAGCUUUCCUGAUUUUACUAGAAUUACAGUUAGGGACAACAAGCCUAAAAAUAUAUGGACAAUUUUGUGAAGCACUCAGAAUAUAUUGUCUAUUUCUGCUUGAUCUUGGAAAAUUAGGAAGCAUUUGUUCAGUAUCCAGAUUUUCUUUGCAAGUCUGUGUCUUCAGAGAGAUCGUGGUCUUCGGCUGUCACCUGAAAAAAAGUGAACACUUCAAUUUAGAGGUGUUUGGUUUGGAGGUAAGUAUUUCACAGAACUUGUCUGUUCUAGAUUCUCGAGCAUAAGGACUGACAAUCACGCUGAAAGAAGACGUGAAAAGUAGGUGUUCAUUGUUUCACUGCAGUGAAUGAAGAAUGAGUGACUGGCAUUUCUUUGAUAAAUCAAUGCUUCCCAUUUUUUAAUAUCAGAAUGCUAUUGUAAUGCCCAGUUCUCGUCUAACAGCAGUGACAAUUUGCUCCAUGAGUUUGUGAGACUGAAGAGUGUGUCUUGCAUUAAACUGAAUCCUAGAUAAGAGAUUUUCUUAAUAUUCCAGAAUUAAAUAGGAAAAAGUAUUUUCUCCCUGAAUUUCUAACCUAUGAAACUGGAAUAUGAAUGUGAAAAAUGAACGUAUGGAAGGCUGUAAAGAAUUAUGGCAAAAUACAUAUACAGAUGUUUUGUACAGCAAAUCAGUCAAGGAGGGAUUUUGUGACAAUAUCUAGUCCACCAGCAGUUCCACAUCUAAACUUCAUCUGGCUGUUAUUUUCUAUUCUGCCAUAGUCAGUGCUUAUCUAGCCUUAUAGUUUGAAAGCUUUUUCUGAUAUCUUAUCUAAAUCUAAAUUCUUUGUGCACAGCUAAAGUCCAUAGUUUCUCGAGCUAGCAGUAGAGCCCAUGGGGAACAGCUUGUCACCUAGACUUAACAGCUUAACACUCUCUCUAGACUGACAACCCUGAGCAAGUCCUUCAAGCUUUUCUUAAAUCUAUUCUUGUAGAUGUAUGAUCAUUCUCCUGUCCUCUGGACCUUCUUGGAAAAAUGAUACCUCAAGCUGGGCACAGUGUUCCAGCUCCAUCUUUACUCAUGCAACAUAAAGUUUUAAGACUGUUGCUUUUU